UCCUGUACUUUUAUUAAUACAUACAAUAAUGAAAUUAAGAUUAUAUUUAAUUUAUUAUUUAUAUCUCACUUAAUUUUAUAGUUUAGACAGAAGAUUAAUAAAUUAUAUAUUGCUGGAUACUCAGUAUCACUCGUUGCUCUGUUGAUAUCGCUUGCAAUUUUCUUUUAUUUUCCUUCACUUCAGUGCAUUCGUAUUACCAUUCACAAGAAUCUGUUUUUCUCAUUUAUCAUGAACAACAUGACAUGGAUCAUAUGGUAUACCGAAGUGGUUCAACACGUAGAAGUUUUGGAAGCAAAUAAUAUAGGAUGCCAAAUUUUGCAUA